GACGAACGCUGGCGGCGUGCUUAACACAUGCAAGUCGAACGGAAAGGCCCCUUUGGGGGUACUCGAGUGGCGAACGGGUGAGUAACACGUGAGUAACCUGCCCUUGACUUCGGGAUAACUUCAGGAAACUGGGGCUAAUACCGGAUAGGAAUCCUUGCUGCAUGGUGGGGGUUGGAAAGCUUCGGCGGUUUUGGAUGGACUCGCGGCUUAUCAGCUUGUUGGUGGGGUAGUGGCUUACCAAGGCUUUGACGGGUAGCCGGCCUGAGAGGGCGACCGGCCACAUUGGGACUGAGAUACGGCCCAGACUCCUACGGGAGGCAGCAGUGGGGAAUAUUGCAAAAUGGGCGGAAGCCUGAUGCAGCAACGCCGCGUGCGGGAUGACGGCCUUCGGGUUGGAAACCGCUUUCAGCAGGGGCGAAGCUUGUGGUGACGGUACCUGCAGAAGAAGCACCGGCUAACUACGUG
rnacentral:rRNA from 1 species